rnacentral:rRNA from 1 species
UACGUAGGGCGCAAGCGUUAUCCGGAAUUAUUGGGCGUAAAGAGCUCGUAGGCGGUUUGUCGCGUCUGCCGUGAAAAGUCCGGGGGCUCAACUCCGGAUCUGCGGUGGGUACGGGCAGACUAGAGUGAUGUAGGGGGAGACUGGAAUUCCUGGUGUAGCGGUGAAAUGCGCAGAUAUCAGGAGGAACACCGGUGGCGAAGGCGGCAUCCUGGACCAAUAUUGACGCUGAGGAGCGAAAGCCAGGGGGAGCAAAACGGGG